rnacentral:tRNA from 1 species
GUUAAGGUGGCAGAGCCCGGUAAAUGCAUAAAACUUAAAACUUUAACACCAGAGGUUCAACUCCUCUCCUUAACA